rnacentral:lncRNA from 1 species
UGGGUGACAGAUUUUUGUUGUUGAUUUAAUCCAUUUUGAAUUCAGGCUGUGGAAUAAGUCAAGGGGUCGGAAUACUUUCUGAAGCCCAAAGCUUUUGGGGAAGACUGUGCCCAAGUCAUCUUCACUGGUAGUGCUAGUAUGACAGCUGUCACUUUCUUCACAUGUUCCUCGCUCACAAGCCUUACCAGUUCUUGAUAUUGUGAACUCUGUCCCUCAUAAACACAAUUGACCACCCUAUUGACAACAUCUUAGCCAGCUGUGCCAGCUAAUCGGCCAAUCAAUGUGCUUGUAUAGAACGUCUGACUGAUAGACAAUGGUUGUCAGGUUGGUUGUCAGGUGCCAUUUCCAUCUGGAUUUUGUGGGAAUUGAAGUCCUUUUGUUUUCACACUUUUCUUGAAAUACCAACAACAUCCAUCCAUUAACACCUCUACGGUGAAAUUCCUCGCUACCCUUCUACCAGGUCAAUACCUGGCCACUGCGUUGAGGAAAAAUCAAUGUGAGACGGUAGAAAUGGCUUAGGCAUGAUGCGAUUGCUCAUUCAAAGCACACAGGACGAGAAACAGGGAGAGAGCAGAGAGAGAUGGAGAGGGGAGAGAGAGAGAGAUAGAGAGAGAAAGACAGAGAGAGAGAGGGUGAGAGAGAGAGACAGAGAGAGAGAGAGAAAGAUAGAGGAGAGAGAGAGAGAGAAAGACAGAGAGAGAGAGAAAGAGAGAGAGAGGGCGAGAGAGAGAGAGAGAGAGAGAGAGAGAGAAAGACAGAGAGGGCGAGAGAGAGAGAAAGAGAGGACGAGAGAGAGAGGGCGAGAGAGAGAAAGAGAGGACGAGAGAGAGAGAGAGGGUGAGAGAGAGAGAGAGAGAGAGAAAGAUAGAGAGAGAGAGAGAAAGACAGAGAGAGAGAGGGCGAGAGAGAGAGAAAGAGAGGACGAGAGAGAGAGGGCGAGAGAGAGAGAAAGAUAGAGGAGAGAGAGAGAGAGAUUGUGGGGUUAGAGAGAGAAAGAGAGAACGAACUGUACCUUAGAAACAUUGCAUCACCUGAUGAGUCAGGUGUCUCUUCUCUUCUCUCACAUCAUAGCCCAGAAAAAGAAGAGAAGGUUUGGAGAGGAGAGGGAAAUGGUGAAGGCGAAAUGAAAGCUCUUCAAACACAAGACAGGGAGAGGGAAGGAGAAGAUUGCUGUCAGUUUGUUAUCCUACUGCACAGUAUAUUUACCUGGAGACAUUGACAUUGUUCAGUGAGACGGAAACAAAACAACCACAUAUGAAGUAUUCAGCAUCUGUCUAUGCUGCUGUUCUACCACGUCAAUACGAGGUGCCUGCUCUAUAUUCUACCACCAACCUCCAAUAAUGAGGAGAGGGGCUGAUGCUAGAAUUACAACUGAUGCGGUGGAUAGAGAGAUUUGGCGCAGAGGGAGAGAUGGAGGGAGCGUUAAGAGAGAGAGAGAGAGAGAGAGAUGAGAUGGAGGGAGGGAGGGUUGAGGGAGAGAGAGAGGGAGGGUUGAGAGAGAGAGAGAGAGAUGGAGGGAGGGUUAUGAGAGAGAGAGCGAGAGGGAGGGUUAAGAGAGAGAGAGAGAUGGAAGAGAGAGAGAGAGAGAGAGAGGGUUAAGAGAGAGAGAGAGAUGGAGGGAGGGUUAAGAGAGAGAGAUGGAGGGAGGGUUAAGAGAGAGAGAGAGAUGAAGGGAGGGUUG